GAUCAUGCCUCAGGACGAACGCUGGCGGCGCGCCUAACACAUGCAAGUCGAACGAGCGAGAGAGAGCUUGCUUUCUCAAGCGAGUGGCGAACGGGUGAGUAACGCGUGAGGAACCUGCCUCAAAGAGGGGGACAACAGUUGGAAACGACUGCUAAUACCGCAUAAGCCCACGACCCGGCAUCGGGAAGAGGGAAAAGGAGCAAUCCGCUUUGAGAUGGCCUCGCGUCCGAUUAGCUAGUUGG
rnacentral:rRNA from 1 species